rnacentral:rRNA from 1 species
UCGAGCGAGAAGACGUAGCAAUACGUUUGUAAAGCGGCGAACGGGUGAGGAAUACAUGGGUGACCUACCCUCGAGCGGGGAAUAACUAGCCGAAAGGUUAGCUAAUACCGCAUACGACUCUCGGUCUGCGGAUCGGGAGAGAAAGCGAUACCGUGGGUAUCGCGCUCCUGGAUGGACUCAUGUCCUAUCAGCUUGUUGGUGAGGUAACGGCUCACCAAGGCUUCGACGGGUAGCUGGUCUGAGAGGACGAUCAGCCACACUGGCACUGCGACACGGGCCAGACUCCUACGGGAGGCAGCAGUAAGGAAUAUUGCGCAAUGGGCGACAGCCUGACGCAGCGACGCCGCGUGGGGGAUGAAGGUCUUCGGAUUGUAAACCCCUUUCGGCAGGGAAGAUGGAACGGGUAACCGUUCGGACGGUACCUGCAGAAGCAGCCACGGCUAACUUCGUGCCAGCAGCCGCGGUAAUACGAAGGUGGCAAGCGUUAUUCGGAUUUACUGGGCGUACAGGGAGCGUAGGCGGUUGGGUAAGCCCUCCGUGAAAUCUCCGGGCCUAACCCGGAAAGGGCGGAGGGGACUGCUCGGCUAGAGGAUGGGAGAGGAGCGCGGAAUUCCCGGUGUAGCGGUGAAAUGCGUAGAGAUCGGGAGGAAGGCCGGUGGCGAAGGCGGCGCUCUGGAACAUUUCUGACGCUG